AGAUGUCUUUGAAUACACCAUCGAACAUGCAUCGAAUGAUAUCAGCAGUGAGUAUUGUGAACAAGAACAGAAAAUGUAUCGAGAGCUCUACCAGCGACACAACAGUCUUCUGGCCACGUUUAUUGGAAAAGAAUUCGAAACGGUAAAACAGUUCCUCUUUCUUUCAAUUCUGUUGGUUCUUGGGGUUUAUUUCAGGUUGAUGGGAAAUUGAUGAAAGCCACAAAAUCUCAUCUGUCUGUUUCUCUGUCUGUCUGUUUCUAUGUCGACUUGCCUGCCAACGACGGCGACAACAACAACAACUAGAACUCCAUUAUUUGAGAAAGUUUUCCUUAUAAAUGGAGGUCGGGGUGGGGGUGUGUGAAAUAUUCAAGAUUUCUUACUCCCAUAAUUUGU